rnacentral:rRNA from 1 species
UACGGGAGGCAGCAGUGGGGAAUAUUGCACAAUGGGCGCAAGCCUGAUGCAGCCAUGCCGCGUGUAUGAAGAAGGCCUUCGGGUUGUAAAGUACUUUCAGUCGUGAGGAAGGUGUUAAGGUUAAUAACCUUAGCAAUUGACGUUAGCGACAGAAGAAGCACCGGCUAACUCCGUGCCAGCAGCCGCGGUAAUACGGAGGGUGCGAGCGUUAAUCGGAAUUACUGGGCGUAAAGGGCACGCAGGCGGUUAAUUAAGUUGGAUGUGAAAUCCCCGGGCUUAACCUGGGAAUGGCAUUCAAGACUGGUUAGCUAGAGUCUUGUAGAGGGGGUAGAAUUCCAUGUGUAGCGGUGAAAUGCGUAGAGAUGUGGAGGAAAUACCGGUGGCGAAAGGCGGCCCCUGGACAAAAGACUGACGCUCAUGUGCGAAAAGCGUGGGGAGCAAAACAGGGAUUAGAUACC